rnacentral:lncRNA from 1 species
GGACCAGGUUGCACAUGGUGGAUAAUGCAGAAAGAUGGAACAAAACAAUGUAUACCUCAGGGAAAUCUAAUUGCUGGGUGAGACCUAUGACAGGUGAAAGAAGCAGCAUUUACAGAAGAAGAAAAAGGAAAAUCACUGAAGGAAAUCAAUUCAAAGCAGAAGUGACUUCCUAG